UAAGCUGUGAAUCCAUCUGUUGAAGGUCUUUUUUGGUUGGUCAUGCCACCAACUCCUAGUGCCUGCUGGUCCAGGGACAACAUUUGGAGUACCAAGAACUUAAAUGAUUGGAAAGAAAAUGCUAUGCAUGAGUCCUGUCUAUUUCUGGCAUAAACUUUCAAAGAAAGGGACUUAAUUUUUAAAAAGUGAAAUAUUUAAGUACCUAAAGGAACUCUUUGAGAAACUCUUGCCAGUGAAACAAACUCGGGAGACAGGAAGAGCUGCAUGCGACACACCAGUCAUCUUAAUGUCACAUGUCACCUGACUGGAAAUGUGGAAAGAAAUGAGGCUGUGAAGUCAAAGAUUAAGCUGAACCAGUCAAGGGCAGGUAGGAAACACAUCUCAGGCACACAGAAAUCCCCCAGCAGGAGAAUUACCGCUGCCACCAGGGGGCGCACCGCCACAGCGAUCCUAGGAAGAGCAUCUGGACCCAAUCAUUCUGCAGUUCUGGGGCUGGAAACCUGGGCGAUGAACUGAGAUGAGGAGAUGGACACAGCACUGUAUAACGUGAGACCAUCCCAUUAGCCUCAGGUCUCUCUGAGGAUGACGACUUGGUGAUGGGUCAUGUGUUUACCACUCAAGUUUUUGCACUGGACAGCUGAGCUGGGCUUGAAGUGGAUUCCGCAGUCAGAUUUGAGGCCCUGGGCAAGAGGGGUUUGCUGUGAUUAUCCCCAUCAGAAUAACACAGGGCUGUCUAAAGUACAAAGAGCCAACUGACUUUGGCAUCUCUCUCAUCUGAAUGUUUUGUAUUUUCAAAAUGCUUCAUUGCCGCAAAGCACCCUUCUGUGGAAAGGUUGGCAUCAUCUUUUACCAUUGAGGAAACUGAGGCACAGGGGAGGAAUGGACUAUACUUUAGAUCUGUGGCCAAAUCAGAAUCAGAAUUCCAGCUUCUUGCUCCAGCCGUAGCAGACCACCUGGCUGGGCUGCCUUUCCCCUGUCAUCUCAGGGCUCCUCCGAAUGAGCCUCG
rnacentral:lncRNA from 1 species